GAUGAACGCUAGCGGGAGGCCUAACACAUGCAAGCUGAGCGGUAGAGAUCUUUCGGGAUCUUGAGAGCGGCGUACGGGUGCGGAACACGUGUGCAACCUGCCUUUAUCAGAGGGAUAGCCUUUCGAAAGGAAGAUUAAUACCUCAUAAUAUAAUGAAUGGCAUCAUUUAUUAUUGAAAACUCCGGUGGAUAGAGAUGGGCACGCGCAAGAUUAGAUAGUUGGUGAGGUAACGGCUCACCAAGUCGAUGAUCUUUAGGGGGCCUGAGAGGGUGAUCCCCCACACUGGUACUGAGACACGGACCAGACUCCUACGGGAGGCAGCAGUGAGGAAUAUUGGACAAUGGGUUAGCGCCUGAUCCAGCCAUCCCGCGUGAAGGACGACGGCCCUAUGGGUUGUAAACUUCUUUUGUACAGGGAUAAACCUACUCUCGUGAGAGUAGCUGAAGGUACUGUACGAAUAAGCACCGGCUAACUCCGUGCCAGCAGCCGCGGUAAUAC
rnacentral:rRNA from 1 species